GACGAACCGAGCGACCGUUGUUCGGAAUCACUGGGCUUAAAGGGCGCGUAGGCGGGCCGCCGCGUCCGGGGUGAAAUCCCACGGCUCAACCGUGGAACGGCCUCGGAUACGGGCGGCCUCGAGGGGGGUAGGGGCAUGCGGAACUGUGAGUGGAGCGGUGAAAUGCGUUGAUAUUCACAGGAACUCCGGUGGCGAAGGCGGCGUGCUGGACCCCUUCUGACGCUGAGGCGCGAAAGCCAGGGGAGCAAACGGG
rnacentral:rRNA from 1 species